AUCCUUUGAGUGCUUGUUGCCCAUGAAAAGUUUUCUAAAGAGAAAGUGUUAAGUAGAGGUAGGCAUCAGGCCAUCGGCCCCGACCCAGCAUGAACUGGAAUGUGCGUGGCAUGGCCUACCAAGUACUGUAGCCUGUGGGGUUUGGUAGCCCGUGGCCCAGGCCUGGCACAGUACGGCUCUUCAGGGCCUGGGGCACGGCUCGCAUGCCAGCCCAUAUGGGCCGUGCCA
rnacentral:lncRNA from 1 species